GAUUUUUUCCAAAGAACACUAUUAUCACUACAUUCGUAAACUGUGAGCAAUAAUGCAGGGAUGAAAUUAUUAGUAUUGCCGUUUCAAAUUUGAAUUAUCAUCAAAACCGUGGUAAUGAAACGUGUGUUUUGUUUUGUGUGAAAACAUGGCGGAAGGCAGUGAUAGCGCCGGGAGAUUUUUCAGCCUUCUAAGAGGACCAAAUCUGAAGUGUGGUCGUAUUUCUGGUUUUACAAGAGUGCCGAGGGAAACUUAAUCGAAGAUGGUCACCCUGUCUGCAGAACAUGCAAAACCAAUCGCUGCGAAAGGGGGCAACACUUAAAAUCUCUUGAGUCAUAUUCAUGAUCACCACCCACAACGUUAUAGCCUACACAAGAGUGGGCGAGCAGCAGGCAAACCCUGUGAUGCUACUGGUCCCUCCUCAUCUACAGUUGUGACACAGACACUCGAGCAAACAUUUAUAAGGCAGGCUGCUUAUGCACCCACAUCAAAAAUGCUCAAGACCUCAUUGCAAAGGACAUGAUGCAAUUUCAAUUAGUUGAGAGGCCUGGCUUUCUGAGGCUGAUGAAGGUUGACGUGCCUCAAUACAAAGUCAGUGCUGCUAAUUGUAUUUGUUGUUUGUUUAUUUGAUUUGCUUACUUAAGGUUGUGUUCAUUUAAAUCUGCACUAGGGGAUCUUUUACCUCUCAUGGCCACAUGGUGUCAUCUUCAAUGUUAACGUUAUUAUUUGAAUGUUUAUGCACACACACAUUUCAUAGUGCCGCUAGUUUUAUUUGUUGUUUAUUGGUUUUCAAUAUAAAACUUGGCGAAAUGA